UUACAUGAGAAAAUGUGUUUGUCUAGAACCACUGUAUGGUAAAGAACUGGCAUUCAGCCUGUCCUCCCUGACCUUGUCCUUGAAUGGGCGACAUAUCUUCUACUGUAGUUACCCAGCUAGGGACACUGUGUUACCAGCUGCAGCCAAGUGGUCAUUUAUUAUGUUGCCAGCCAACUGGGACCUUUUAUUCACUCUUACGACUGGGACUGUGGGCAAUUGCUGAGUAAUCGUUCUACUCUCUCCAUUGCUCUGGUGUUCCUGUCUCUUGCAUAUCCUAGAGGCCUAUUGCUUGUCACAUAUUACUGUGUGUUGCUCUUCCCCUCUCUGUGUCGGGCCGGUCCUCUUCCCCAAUGCCAAUUUGCUGGCACCAUUUUCCUAGCAAGUUAUUGUUAAGCUGGCAGCAUUUUAUAGGAGCAGCUCUAUUAAUCAAACGAUGACAGAAGAUGCACCAGCUAAAUGUAAAAUAAACAUUUAAAUUAAAAACAUAAACCACUCUCUGAUUUAUUUAGUAAUAGUUUUAGUCCCAUUCUUCUAUAAAUUUAAUUCCCUUUCACCUUUUUAGAUCUAUGAAACACUAAAAAUGUGUAAAGUGUUUUUUAACAUGAAAUUGCAACUUAUUUUAAUUAAUAAUUCAUCACAAGAUUCCAGAAUUUGUUUUAGCUAAAGCAUUUUUACGAAAAAUUUUUGCUCAGCUGAAAAAAAGAAUUGACUGGAAGAAUCAGAAACCACCUCUGCAGGCAUGUCAUCAUGAAUAAAAAUUGCAUUAUGAUAUAUUAUAACAUGGCGUUCUCAGACCUCUUUUAUCCAGUUCAGGGUUUUAUGGGGAAAAUAGUCUCUCCCUGCAGCAACAGUUACAAAGCAGGAAUAAACUGUGGACAGGGCACCAGUCCAUUACACUACAAUAUAAAGCACAUAUCCAUUCUCUCACAGGCCAGUUAAGAAUUGCCAAUUAGCCUAACAGGCAUCUCUUGGGAUGUGGCGUUAGAAACCACAGAGAUAAGGGGGAGAAUUUGCAGACAAUGUCCAGACGCAGGAUUUUAAUCCAGCAUGAGACAGCAGCACUACUGACUGUCCCACCCAUAUUAUAAGAUGUUAUGCCCUAAUCCACUUUUUGACUCAUCUUCAUUACAGAUUCAUUGGGAGUCUAUUCUGAUAACAUUUGGCAUAAGGCAUAAUCCAAGAACCAACUCUGGAUGCAUCCAAUUUAGAUAUCUCAAUUCAGCAGCUUUCUAAAGAGGUGUUUGCAUUCUGCACAGACGAGUCAACCCUGAAAUGACUGACUCAGAGAACUCUACAGCUGUUUCUCUAAGCACAGAGAGUAAAAUCUGAGCUCUCAAAUGGCACAAAGGCACACUAGAAUCACACUUGGCAAAGGGAAAAAUGAACAACUAAUGCACAAAGUAACAAAGUGAAGGUUUUGGCUAAAAUGCUGAAAUGAAUAACAGAGUCCUGCAGAGAUGAGCACCGUGAUGUCCCUACAUUAAUGGAUUAAAG